CGGAGUAGGAGGCAAUCGCUGCUAUGGAAGCAUCAUUUCCAUAGGAGAGGAAAGUCCGGACUUCAGAGAAAAAGGUGCCAGUGAAAGACUGGGGGCCGUAAGGCUACGGAAAGUGCAACAGAAAACAGGCCGCUAGUCCGAAAGGACUAGACAGGAUGAAAAUGAUGGGCUAGGGGCCCAUCCCCGAAGCAGUAAUGCUAAGGAAGAGGCAAACCCCACCUGAAGCAAGAAAAGAGUCUAAGCUGUUUUUCGCAAUGGGACUCUUUCAGUGUCGCUUGAGGGUCUUAGCAAUAAGGUCCCUAGAUGAAUGAUUGCAACUCACAGUUUGUGGGUGACAGAAUCCGGCUUAUUCCCUACCCGGGAAC
rnacentral:RNase_P_RNA from 1 species